AAGUCGUAACAAGGUUUCCGUAGGUGAACCUGCGGAAGGAUCAUUAAUGAAAUUUAUGAUUGGAGUUGUAGCUGGCCCUUAAAAACGGCAUGUGCACGCUCCUUUCACUAAUCCACACACACCUGUGCACCUUCGCGGGGGUCUUCUUUUCGGAGAAGGCUCGCGUCCCUUUACACACCCUUUGUAUGUCUUAAGAAUGUCUACUCGAUGUAAUAAAACGCAUCUAAUACAACUUUCAACAACGGAUCUCUUGGCUCUC
rnacentral:misc_RNA from 1 species